GCACCAAUGGUUCAAUGGUAGAAUGGAUCCCUGCCACGGAUUCGAUCCGAGUUCGAUUCUCGGUUGGUGCA
rfam:Dictyostelium fasciculatum unplaced genomic scaffold Scf_ET5ZYIE02H8LDV-5, whole genome shotgun sequence.